rnacentral:rRNA from 1 species
UACGUAGGUGGCAAGCGUUAUCCGGAAUUAUUGGGCGUAAAGCGCGCGUAGGCGGUUUUUUAAGUCUGAUGUGAAAGCCCACGGCUCAACCGUGGAGGGUCAUUGGAAACUGGAAAACUUGAGUGCAGAAGAGGAAAGUGGAAUUCCAUGUGUAGCGGUGAAAUGCGCAGAGAUAUGGAGGAACACCAGUGGCGAAGGCGGCUUUCUGGUCUGUAACUGACGCUGAUGUGCGAAAGCGUGGGGAUCAAACAGGAU